AAUAAAUUUCUAUUAUUUAUAACUUCUUCAAUCUAAAGUAUUUUGUUAUAGCAGCAGGAAUGACCAGGACAACAACCAAAGCUCUUCUCAGGUUCUGGCAGGCCCUGGGAAUGGUGCCCACUCUGUCUGCCCAUGACUGGGGGCCCUGCCUCUGCUUGCUUAUGGUACCCAUUCUGGGCCAUGGGUCAGACACUGCAGAAUCCCCUGACCCACCCCAUCUACAUGGACAUUGCCAGGCCCCCUUCCAGCUGCCAUCUGGAUUCAAGGAUGCUAUGCCUGACCUGGGGUCCAAGGUGCUCACAUCAUUUGGAACAAAGACCGGUACUCCAGAGCCACAGAGAGGCUCCUGGAGCUGGUAAACUUGUUGUUCAGCUAGGCUCCAGCAUCACAUAACUAACUGCGCCCCUCCCCAGAAAAUGUGUGUGUGGAAGCCGGACAGUCUACUGCAGAGACUUUCUGCAAGAGAAUCAUUCCUCAGCCUCUGCCCUUUCAAUUCCUGCUCUGCGAGGCACACAGGGGCGGGGCAGCGAGCAGCCAACUGACAAAUGCCACGGCGUUUAUGGAGUGUGCCCCGGCAGCCCACGUGGUCAGCAGAGGGCCCAGAGCCCCCGCCGGGAUGGUGGUUCUGCGAAGUGGUGUUGGCUGCAGGAGCUAUUCAUUCUUGUCAGCUUCAAGUUGAUCUCUUUUAUGCAUUUAGCCCAACACUUAAAGGGGAAAAUGUCCCUGUUUAAAUGUUAACAAUGUAAAUUCUGCAGGUUUUAAUUCUUCUUUCAUCUGCCUUCAAGGCAGACAUAUUCCAGUUAGCAGAGAGGGAAAUCUAUAUAUUGGAUAAAACUUGCAAAUCUGCAUCUCCGUCAGGGACCAGUCCACAUCGGGUCUGUCCCCGGAGCUUGGGAGCAGGUUGCGGGGAGGGGAGGGCCGCAGGAAGACUGGGUGGGAUGAGGGGCUGCCUCAUCAAUCUCCAUCACUGUCUGCUCUUCUCUCUGCUAGUCACUCCCUUCCAGCCAGGGCCCAGCCCCCCACUUGCCUCUGCUGGACAUACAGCCAUGUCUGCAGCCUAGACAAAAGGUUCGUGUGAGCUCACUGGGGAUACCACGGGCCCUCAGAGCAGUCCCAGCCCUGGUGCUCAGUAGCUGCCCUGUCUUUGUGUGUGUGUGUGUGUGUGUGUGUGUGUGUGUGUGUGUGUGUGUGGAGGGGGUGUUCAGGCACUCUGAUGGCAAUGUAGGGUAAUAUCCAGAUCUGGCAAAGGUUGAGCCUCUCCUGAUCUUUUCAUUCUGCCCUGUGCCCAACCAACAUGCCUGGAGAACAGGCUGCUUCUCCUGGGGCCUGAGCCAUGGCGGAGGAGCAGAGGUCGUGUCACAGACUGGUCACAAAGCCACUGUACUCAGACAUCCUUUGUCCCCUUCUCACCACUGCCUUCACCGAGGCGGGCCCUGAGGGCAGGUGUACCAAUAGAGCACCUGGUCACUUGCUCUCUGGUCAGCUGGUGACAUCUACGCCUGUCUCCUUCAGCCCCUGCCCCUGCAUCUCCAGGGGAAUGGCCCCAAAGCUUGCCCCAUCCUGCUCUCCUGAGAAGACUCCUGAGGCUCUGCCAUGGUUUACGUUCCAGCCCUGCUGGGGACAGCCCCACCAUUCUGUAGCCUUAGCUGCCCCCCAACCCUACAUCCCUGAGCCUGCAGGCAUUGCUGACAGUCUGCUGGGAACUGGCUCUGGACUCACCUCCACUGCAGAGCCUUCCCUCAGCUUGUCACACUUCCUGAUUUGGAUGCAUCUGGGCAGGACCAGGAGGAGGAGCCAUUCCCUAGUUGCAGCAAUCUGGCUAUGCAACUCUGCCUCCCUUCCCAGGAAGUCCCUCCCUCCCAGCACCAGCACUGGCCUCCCACACGAACUCCAGGUUCUGCUCAGACAGUGCUUGGCUGGAGUCUCCUCCUCCAGAAAGUCCUCCCUGAACCCCCAGGGUAUGCAGUUCCUCCUUCACUCCCACCUUUCCCGUCAGAGCUGAUUGCCUGAACGAAGCAUCAGGUGUCUGAUGACCCAGGCACCUGAGAGCACCAACGAGAUGGCCACUGUCCUUGGCCCAUCUUGGUUCCCUGAAGCCUGAGUCUGAUCACUCAGGUUUACUGAACAAAUGACUGAACAAAUGAAUGGGGUGUGUGUAGCAUGGGGGUCUUUGGGGCCUUGCAGGUUUCUAGGUACCACAAGACAGUGCCCUGCCUUGCGGGUCACUUACCCUCUGUGGACAGACCCCUGGGCUGGAAAGGGGCAUUAAGGACAGAUGUUCUGACGUGGCUUGCUCUGGGACAAUUCUGUCCUUGGUUCCUCACAGGUGCUGGUACCCCAGGCUUCAGAAUAAACCCCAAGCGUUUCCCUGCUGGGUACAGCCCCAGUCCCCCACCCCAUGUCUGGUCUGCGACUAUGCUUUUCCUAGAAAUAGGGAGGGUAUCAUGCAAGGCCACCAGAGGGGUACCCCAGCUGUGCUUCCCACAUGCACAGCCUCAAGUAGGAGCCCCAUGGUCAGACAGACCCACAAUCCCUGUAUUCUAGAAUACAAGGCCCAGCUCCCAUCACUCUAUCUUCUUUGCUUGGCCCCAAGGUCCCUGGCAAAGUAAGGGCCACCUUCGUGCUGCCUCUGAAAUUGACAAGUGGCCCCAGCAUUCUCAAGGGCUCUGGACCAGAUCUGGGCUCCACCCCCGUGAUGGUGCCUGGCUCCCACUGCUGUUUGCUAGUGGCAGUUUACCGGAAUGAAGGCUCAGGGCUUUGUGGAGGUUGGGGAUAUUGUUGCUGACAAGCAAGCUUGGAGGUAGGUAGGUGGGACUACAGUCAGAACCCCUGCAGCCUGCAGAGACACUUGGAACACACACAUCAAACAGAAGUCCCAACAUACAUGCAAGAAGAUACAUACACGCACACAAGCAGGCACAGACCCAGGACACUCAGACCUAUUUCUCAUGAAGACCUGCAAACAUAGGUUCCUUGGAUAGUGUCACUUAUACCCCCCCUCAUGAACACACAUGCACACACCUGCCCUGCACAUCCCCCACUCUCACACCACACGUCUUCCCACCUGGGUGUCCCCCGCCUACAUCCACUGCAGCCCUGAGGGGAACAGGCACACAGGCCUGGAAGCUGGCUGCAGUUUCCUAGGAAACGCUGUCACCACUGUGGCAUCACAGAGCCUGGGAGGCCUCCAGUACGUGCCUGACAAGCCCUCAGUGCCCACCAUGGGGCUCAUGCAGCCUGUGGGCGUGCGAUGGAUAAAGAAGAGAUGCCCAGUUCAAAGGCCUGGGUAGGCAGGAGGCGAUGGGGCAGGUACAGCUCACGCCUACCCCAAAGUCCCUGCCUCCACUCAGCACCCUGUCCCAGGGUUUCUCACAGUCACUUUCUCCAUCACGGAACGCAUUAAAAUGCAGCUGCCAUGCCUGCAUUAAUCACACCCCCUUUCUCAGAGCCUAAUCAACUUCUAAUUAACCCUGUUUCUGUCAGUGUGAGAUAACUGAAUUCACUCCGAGUCUUUCUGUGGAUGGAACAGUUGGAGCCCACCUGGCUACUUGUGACGGUACAGAUCUUAAAAAUAACAUGCUUUGGUUUUGAACACAUA